UUUUUUUUCAGGAGCUCUGAUUCCAAAAGAAAAAAUGGAUAAAGUUGAAGGAAGGGAUUUUUUCCCCCCUUCUUGUGCCUGGAAGAGUACUCACUUGUGGUUUUCUUUUCUUGUAGGGGAGCUGGUGCCAGAAAGAAGUUGGAAAUGUCACCCCCUCUGCCUUGUAUCAUCGGGACAAACAUCAUCCUGGAGAGAAGUGGAUUGGAGGCCCCUCAGAGCCCGGCACGGUGUGAACCGCUGGCUUUUGCUCAUGACCGGGAAUUACAACGCUCUCAUUUUCGGCUGAUGGAAAUUUUGGAUCUAUGUGCUCGCCCAUGGUUGCAGGAUCAUCUCUCGGAGGGGAAGGAUGAGACAGCCUCUGGAAUCCAGCUCUGGAGGAUCCGUGAUUGGAUGACGGUACCGAGGCCUCGUGAGCUCUGAAUGAUCUAGGCCACCUGGGCACCAUUUUUAAGCACUCACAUUUUCUCCAACCAGGCCCACUCACCGGAAAUACCACAUUUUCAAAAUGAAAUGUUUUCUUUUCAUAUCAUAUCAUUACACAAUAAAAUUAGUGCCAGUGAACUGCAGGUCUACUUACCUCCUUACACAACACACAUUUGGGCUGAGGUAUCAGAUACCCAGGGCAGACAGGGCCAGAGUCCGGUGCCUCCUUUGGGAGAGCUCCUGCCCCCCAGCAGCUCCUACAGUUGGUCAAGAGGGAGGAGGAUUAGGGAAAGGAAGGGUCCAGGUGCUUCUAGGAC
rnacentral:lncRNA from 1 species